CGAGAAAGAUCCAAGGACUGCUAACCCUUGACCCCAUGUUUAAACACACAUGGCUUUCUUA
rnacentral:tRNA from 1 species